GAGUGAAGCGGCAACAGCUCAAAUUUGAAAUCCGGCCCCAGGCCCGAGUUGUAAUUUGCAGAGGAUGCUUCGGGCGCGGCGCCUUCCAAGUCCCCUGGAACGGGGCGCCACAGAGGGUGAGAGCCCCGUCAGGUCGGCCGCCAAGCCUAUGUGAAGCUCCUUCGACGAGUCGAGUAGUUUGGGAAUGCUGCUCUAAAUGGGAGGUAGACCCCUUCUAAAGCUAAAUACCGGCCAGAGACCGAUAGCGCACAAGUAGAGUGAUCGAAAGAUGAAAAGCACUUUGAAAAGAGGGUUAAACAGUACGUGAAAUUGUUGAAAGGGAAGCGCUUGUGACCAGACGUGCGCCGGGCGCUCAGCGGGCGUUCUCGCCCGUGCAUUCGCCCCGGCGCAGGCCAGCGUCGGUUCGGGAGGGGGGACAAAGGCACCAGGAACGUGGCUCCCUCGGGAGUGUUAUAGCCUGGCGCGCCAUGCCCCCGCCCGGACCGAGGUUCGCGCUCCGCAAGGACGCUGGCGUAAUGGUCCCCAGCGGCCCGUCUUGAAACACGGACCAAGGAGUCGAGGUUUUGCGCGAGUGUUUGGGUGUCAAACCCGCACGCGUAAUGAAAGUGAACGCAGGUGGGAGCUUCGGCGCACCACCGACCGAUCCUGAUGUUCUCGGAUGGAUUUGAGUAGGAGCGUAGGGCCUCGGACCCGAAAGAUGGUGAACUAUACUUGGAUAGGGUGAAGCCAGAGGAAACUCUGGUGGAGGCUCGCAGCGGUUCUGACGUGCAAAUCGAUCGUCAAAUCUGAGUAUGGGGGCGAAAGACUAAUCGAACCAUCUAGUAGCUGGUUACCGCCGAAGUUUCCCUCAGGAUAGCAGUGUUGAUCUCAGUUUUAUGAGGUAAAGCGAAUGAUUAGGGACUCGGGGGCGCUUUUCAGCCUUCAUCCAUUCUCAAACUUUAAAUAUGUAAGAAGCCCUUGUUGCUUAGUUGAACGUGGGCCUUCGAAUGCAGCAACACUAGUGGGCCAUUUUUGGUAAGCAGAACUGGCGAUGUGGGAUGAACCAUACGGGGGGUUAAGGUGCCGGAGUGGACGCUCAUCAGACACCACAAAAGGCGUUAGCACAUCUUGACAGCAGGACGGUGGCCAUGGAAGUCGGAAUCCGCUAAGGACUGUGUAACAACUCACCUGCCGAAUGUGCUAGCCCUGAAAAUGGAUGGCGCUCAAGCGUCCCACCCAUACCCCCCCCUCAGGGUAGAAACGAUGCCCUGAGGAGUAGGCGGCC
rnacentral:rRNA from 1 species